rnacentral:misc_RNA from 1 species
UCUCGUUCCACCGCCGCGGC